rnacentral:rRNA from 1 species
GAUCAUGGCUCAGGAUGAACGCUAGCUACAGGCUUAACACAUGCAAGUCGAGGGGCAGCAUGUAUCUGGCUUGCCAGAUACGAUGGCGACCGGCGCACGGGUGAGUAACGCGUAUCCGACCUGCCGCACACUCCGGGAUAGCCUUGCGAAAGCAAGUUUAAUACCGGAUGCCGUAAGGACGCCGCAUGGNGUUUUUUACGAAAGGGGUUUACCGGUGUGCGAUGGGGAUGCGUCCCAUUAG